ensembl:lncRNA
GCUGAAAACAAGUGCAGACCUGGCCAUCAAAUGCUUACUUUACAAGCCCUUAACCAACAGUGCAGUUCAAGAAGAUGAACUAAAGUAAAAAUGUGUAAAAAAAGUAACACAAAAAACAUAACAGUAACGAGGCUAUAUACAGGGGGUACCAGUACCGAGUCAGUGUGGAGGCUAUAUACAGGGGGUACCAGUACAGAGUCAGUGUGGAGGCUAUAUACAGGGGGUACCAGUACAGAGUCAGUGUGGAGGCUAUAUACAGGGGGUACCAGUACCGAGUCAGUGUGGAGGCUAUAUAAAGGGGGUACCAGUACCGAGUCAGUGUGGAGGUUAGAGGUCAUUUGUACAUGUAGGUCGGGGUGAAGUGACUAUGCAUAGAUAAUAAACAGCGAGUAGCAGCAGUGUACAAAACAAAUGAGGGGGGGGGGUCAAUGUAAUAGAUGGGUGGCCUCUGUACUACCCUCUGUAGCGCCUUACGGUCAGAUGCCGAGCAGUUGCCAUACCAGGCGGUGAUGCAACAGUUCAGGAUGCUCUCGAUGGUGCAGCUGUAGAACCUUUUGAGGAUCUGAGGACCCAUGCCAAAUCUUAUCAGUCUCCUGAGGUGGAAUAGGAUUUGUCGUGUCCUCAUCACAACUGUCUUGGUGUGUUUGGACCAUGUUAGAUCUUUGGUGAUGUGGACACCAAGGAAC